GCCCUUUUCAUGUUGUACUACUGAGAUUGAGUUAAGCAGUGCAAUAUUAAAAGGGCAU
rnacentral:pre_miRNA from 1 species